rnacentral:lncRNA from 1 species
AUUAUAUUAAACGCUAAGAAUAAGAUAAUGUCUCGUUUAAACAAACAAAGAAGACACUUUUUAGGGACCUUUUUGUAUGACAUAAAGCAUCUUUGACUAUUCUGGAACGAAAAAGAAUCCUUGAAUAUAAGACAUUAAAAACAGAUAAUUUAAAACUCCAAAAUAAACUCACCCCUCCUAUUGGAAACAAUAUCUGUCUUUACUCAAGCUAGACAAUUUCGUAAGUUGUCUUCAUUUUUUAAAAAAGACAUCCUAGAAGGGCUGGCAAAUCCAAGGAUGGGAUGGAAAGAAUUUCUGGAUGUUCAGCCAGUCUGAUCCAUGUUUUGACAUUUUACGCAAGAGAAUAAAAGCUGUUUUUCCCCCCAUUUCUCCAGGCUGCUACUACCCAUCAUUUCACGCAGAUCUGGUUACACAAGCACAGAAAAGUCAUCAAUGUAUUGGAAGAAGAGAAAGAGAGAAAGUGCUCCUAUUUAUGCAGAACUUCUGGAGAUGCAAUACAGAAACAAUGCUGAAGGGAACCGAAGUUCUAACUUCUCCAGAAAUCCUUUCAAGACUUCUUCUGCAAGUGACUUGCGACCAAAGAAGUACCAAAGAAGAUAAAAGCCCCUGGUGAAUUGAGAAUUGGCAGGACAAAAUGAAGAAAGCAAUACAAGAGCUGCUCAUUCCGUCAAAAUAGCCAGUAUGGACCAACUUCCAACAUCCUGUCACUUUGAAUAAACUCAUAUUAAUGAAACUGUUGUUUUCUUAC